rnacentral:rRNA from 1 species
CCCUUAGACGUUCUGGGCCGCACGCGCGCUACACUGACCAGUGCAACAAGCAUCCGUCCUUGGCCGACAGGCCCGGGCAAUCUUUGAACGCUGGUCGUGAUGGGGAUAGACUUUUGCAAUUUUUGGUCUUCAACGAGGAAUUCCUAGUAAACGCAAGUCAUCAACUUGCAUUGAUUACGUCCCUGCCCUUUGCACACACCGCCCGUCGCACCUACCGAUUGGAUGGUCCGGUGAAGCCUCGGGAUUGUGGUUCUUGCCGCUUUAUUGUGGCGUGACCGCGAGAACUUGUCUAAACCUUAUCAUCUAGAGGAAGGUGAAGUCGUAACA